rnacentral:rRNA from 1 species
AGCGCAGGCGGUUUCUUAAGUCUGGUGUAAAAGGCAGUGGCUCAACCAUUGUAUGCAUUGGAAACUGGUAGACUUGAGUGCAGGAGAGGAGAGUGGAAUUCCAUGUGUAGCGGUGAAAUGCGUAGAUAUAUGGAGGAACACCGGUGGCGAAAGCGGCUCUCUGGCCUGUAACUGACGCUGAGGCUCGAAAGGCGUGGGAGCAAACA